GAUUUCUGAUGAACCGGAUUGGCCCGUUUCCGAUUCCGGAGAUGAGUGCUGAUUUGAGUUUGUCAUCCUUCCAGAGAGUUGCGCCUACCGUUUAUUCGGCCGGGUGCCAGCGAUCUGGAUCUAUUACUUUGAAAAAAUUAGAGUGUUUAAAGCAGGCUUAUGCUGUGAAUACAUUAGCAUGGAAUAAUAAUUUAGGACUUCGGUUCUAUUUUAUUGGUUUCUAGGACUGAAGUAAUGAUUGAUAGGGAUAGUUGGGGGUGCUAGUAUUCCGCGGCCAGAGGUGAAAUUCUUGGAUUCGUGGAAGACUAACUACUGCGAAAGCAUU
rnacentral:rRNA from 2 species